UACGUAGGAUGCAAGCGUUGUUCGGAAUUACUGGGCGUAAAGAGUACGUAGGCGGCAAUGUAAGUCUGAUAUUAAAGACUGGAGCUUAACUUCAGGAGUGUAUUGGAAACUACAUAGCUAGAGGACAGUAGAGGAAGUCGGAAUUCUCAGUGUAGCGGUGAAAUGCGUAGAUAUUGGGAAGAACACCAGUUGCGAAAGCGGACUUCUGGGCUGUUACUGACGCUGAGGUACGAAAGCGUGGGGAGCAAACAGG
rnacentral:rRNA from 1 species